rnacentral:tRNA from 1 species
GGUCGGUUAGCUCAGUUGGUUAGAGCGUUGCAUUGACAUUGCAAAGGCCGCAGGUUCGAGUCCUGCACCGACCA